GAUGAACGCUGGCAGCGUGCCUAAUACAUGCAAGUCGAGCGAAUGGAUUAAGAGCUUGCUCUUAUGAAGUUAGCGGCGGACGGGUGAGUAACACGUGGGUAACCUGCCCAUAAGACUGGGAUAACUCCGGGAAACCGGGGCUAAUACCGGAUAACAUUUUGAACCGCAUGGUUCGAAAUUGAAAGGCGGCUUCGGCUGUCACUUAUGGAUGGACCCGCGUCGCAUUAGCUAGUUGGUGAGGUAACGGCUCACCAAGGCAACGAUGCGUAGCCGACCGGGGAGGGUGAUCGGCCACACUGGGACUGAGACACGGCCCAGACUCCUACGGGAGGCAGCAGUAGGGAAUCUUCCGCAAUGGACGAAAGUCUGACGGAGCAACGCCGCGUGAGUGAUGAAGGCUUUCGGGUCGUAAAACUCUGUUGUUGGGGAAGAACAAGUGCUAGUUGAAUAAGCUGGCACCUUGACGGUACCUAACCAGAAAGCCACGGCUAACUACGUGCCAGCCGCCGCAGUAA
rnacentral:rRNA from 1 species